rnacentral:lncRNA from 1 species
UCUGGAGGCCCCUUCCAGCCCCUGCAGUUCUGUGAUUCUGUGACAUUGGAGGGCCACGUUAUACAGUUCCUCACCCAUAGAUUUGAGUUCAGGUCUUAAACUGCAGAUUUCUGCCACGUGAAAUAAGUCUGGUGCAGCAUCCAAGGGCUGGAAGUGGUGCAGGGCUCUGUGCAAGGCAUGCAGCAAUGGGAAGAGCACAAAGUGCUGUUCUCUGUGCACAGCCCUGCAGCCCUUCCAGCCAUGCUGCAUAACCCAGUGUGGGGCUGUAGCCUGGCAAAGGCUCAGCCCAGUGAGAUCUGCUCCCAGCACAUUGCCCCGGGUUAAAAUUCCUGCUCUGAUGUGUCCGAGGUCAUCAAUUUAUCUUUCCCAAAUCUAGAGCAUGCCACCUGGUUUUGUAUCCUUCUCUUUAAAGAUGGGACCCGUAAGAGAUCUUGCAGCAACGUCAGAAGAACUGUUGGUUUCCUUCAUAACCUUUGCAUUGAGGAAAGGUUUCCUCUGUUACCUCCAUCAGUGUGACAGCCACUGUGUCACCGGGCAGUGCUUUGGUUUGCACCUCAAGGGUGCGAGGACUUCAAGUAUGAGGUUCUCAUGGGUGCUGCUGCAGCCCCUUUGGCACUGAAUUCAGUGCAGCUCAGGAUUGUGGGCUGUUGGGAUUCUUUGUCAUUAGGGCUCAUUUUCACAGCCCAUCACUGCUCGUUUCACAGUCCUGAAUCACAGAGCCAUGAAAUCUCAGAGGAUUGGCCCUGAGUGUGCGCUGUAAUGAUGUACACUGCAGCAGAGCUGUGUGAGCAUCAGCAGAAGUUUGGAACCUGUGCUUCGUUUCUGAAGGUUACGGUGGAGCACAGCACAGUUCAGCAAUAAGGAAGCAAAACUCUUAAGUUAUAACUCUUAGAAGUCAUAUUUUGCUCGAGAGAAGAGGUAAGAAAGGUGACGUUGGUUGGGCAUAGAGCCUGCCAGCUGUGCUUGAAAAAGCUUCCUUUGACCCACAGUUAUUUUGGUUUUUACCCUCAGUUUGGUGUAUUGAAGAUCUUAGCUGCUGGCGUUUCCCUGCUAAGGUUAAUGAGAAAUGAUUAAUGAGAAAUAGGCUGAGGUUUCUGAAACGAAUGUUCUGUCAGUGGGAUGUGCUGUGCCCAACACCGCAGCCCUGGCUGUUCCAAUGGAGGUUUUAUAGUUAAAAAUGUAUUUAUCAGUGUUGGCAGCCAAAAAAACCUCUGAAGUGUCUCUCUUGGUUUUAUCUUAGCUUCUCCCAUUGAAGUGUCAGUGUGUUUACCUGACAGAAGUGGGUGUCCAAAUGCCAACAAGCAGAUGCGGCCCUCAUCAGCUGCGUGUGUUGGUUUCAGGUCUCAGACUAUGUUACAAAGAGCUGAGUUUUGGGACACCCGUGGGGUACACAGGCAUUGAGCUGACAGUGUGCACAGCAAGCACAACAACCAGAGGGAGAAAGAUAGGAAAGGUGAAGGUUGAAGGCUACACCAACUCCAUUGGGAUGGAUGCGGAGUGGACGUUUCUUUUAUGUCUUUGUAUUUGGGAUGAUGAGUUGGUGGCUUUCCAUGGAAAUGGUUGAUCUCUCGGUGUAAAGCUCAGCUUGGGGAUGGGUGGUAAUGAGGGAGAGCAUCCCAUGCUCCAGGAGGGACAGCGGUGGGAUGUGCACCACCAGCACGAGGCCACAGAGCCACACCAUUGUGCCCAGGGACAGAAAUGAGCAGAGAGCUUGGCCUUGGCUUGGUAUUUACCAUUGGACUAAGUGAAAGCGAUGGUUUUGAUGAGACUUAGGAGAUAAAUAUCUCCAAGUCCAUCUACGCGCACACUCAGGAGAGUUGGAGUGAAGUUGAUUGUUGGGUUGAAUGGUGAGUUAUGUGUUAAUAUAUCAGCAGGGCUGCUCUUGGGAACCGGGCAGUGCAAGGGGGUGCGGAUGGGUUGCACAGAAAGCGUCCCAAAACCAGCGCAAAUCAAACCAUUGGGUUCAGGUUCUGAGCUGCACUCACCCAGAGGAGCAGUUGUUGGUGUGAGGAGGGGGGGAGUUCUGUCUGUGUGGCAUCUCAUGGUCAGACAGCCUUUGUAAAUCACAGUUCGUAAGGCGAUAUGUUUCUGAGAGCGCCGUCUGGAAAGGUUGUGGCUGUGAUGCCAAUUCAGAGGUAGGGGCAGCGCUGCUAAUGGAUCGCCCUUAAUUGUUUCUGGGGUGGUGUACUCUUAACGCAGCGUUGCACAUCAUUUUUAACACUCUCUGUAAUUACAAAUGGCUUCUAUCAGUGUGAGCCCCGAUGCUCUGGC